UGGGACCGAGCAGAACUCUGAC
rnacentral:miRNA from 1 species